GAUGAACGCUGGCGGCGUGCCUAAUACAUGCAAGUCGAACGCAUAGCGAAAGGUGCUUGCACCUUUCAAGUGAGUGGCGAACGGGUGAGUAACACGUGGACAACCUGCCUCAAGGCUGGGGAUAACAUUUGGAAACAGAUGCUAAUACCGAAUAAAACUUAGUGUCGCAUGACACAAAGUUAAAAGGCGCUUCGGCGUCACCUAGAGAUGGAUCCGCGGUGCAUUAGUUAGUUGGUGGGGUAAAGGCCUACCAAGACAAUGAUGCAUAGCCGAGUUGAGAGACGGAUCGGCCACAUUGGGACUGAGACACGGCCCAAACUCCUACGGGAGGCUGCAGUAGGGAAUCUUCCACAAUGGGCGAAAGCCUGAUGGAGCAACGCCGCGUGUGUGAUGAAGGCUUUCGGGUCGUAAAGCACUGUUGUAUGGGAAGAACAGCUAGAAUAGGAAAUGAUUUUAGUUUGACGGUACCAUACCAGAAAGGGACGGCUAAAUACGUG
rnacentral:rRNA from 1 species